GUCUAAGUACUAGCCGAUUUUUAUUAAUUUAAAAAACUAAAUGGUGAAACCGCAAAAAGCUCAUUAAAUCGGCUUUGGUUCCUUAGAUAGUUUGCAGUAGAUAAUUUUUUUCUUUAUUGAAAAAAAUUAAAAUACUGAUUUGGAUAACUGUGGUAAUUCUAGAGCUAAUACAUGAAAAUAAAAAGAAUUAAAGUGCGAAUAAAUAUUUAGAAAACUUAUCGAAAUUUCGAAUGAAAUUCAUGAUAAUAACUAAAUAUUAAUCUAUUUUGCACGCUUUUAUUAGAGUAAAAAGCCAACCUUUAAAAACAAAUCAAGAUGUGUCGUUUUUUAGUAUUGCAAAAUAUUAAAAAUUGUACACUCUUUGUAUUUGUUUAUGAUCGUUAGAAAUCUAUUCAUUUUUUGAAUUGAUUUCAAUAAUGUUGAAUCUGAAUAACUUGAACGAAUCAUUUUACGAAAACUAAUCGAUAAGAAUUAGUAGUUCCCAUUCGAUUAGUAAUUAGUGAAUGGUUUAAAGCAGACCGCAAAAUGUGAAUAUUUUUUUUUAUGAAAAAAUUCAUUUGCGGCGUAUCUUUCAAUUGUCUGCUUUAUCAACUGUCGAUGGUAGAUUAUAUGUCUACCAUGGUUGUAACGGGUAACGGGGAAUCAGGGUUCGAUUCCGGAGAGGGAGCCUGAGAAACGGCUACCACAUCUAAGGAAGGCAGCAGGCACGCAAAUUACCCAUUCCCGGCACGGGGAGGUAGUGACGAAAAAUAACGAUCCGGAACUCGAAUGAGUUUCCGUAAUCGGAAUGAGUACAAUUUAAAUCCUUUAACGAGGAACUAAUGGAGGGCAAGUCUGGUGCCAGCAGCCGCGGUAAUUCCAGCUCCAUUAGCAUAUAUUAAAAUUGUUGCGUUUAAAAAGCUCGUAGUUGGAAUCCUAUCUCAUACUGUCAAACGCUCAUAAUAUUAAUUUAUGUAGUUUGUUUUUGACAAAAGUAUAAAACUGUAUGAGAUAUGUGAACUGGUGGAUUUGACGAGGUCCUGUAAAAAAGUUAUUCAAUAGAUAACCUUUUAUAGGCCUCUAAAUUCGAUGUUAAUGUUAAACUGUUUCUAGAAUCGAAAAUGGUGCGAUAAAAAUGAAAAAAAACUAUAAAUUGUUUCGUUACGAAUAGAAAUUUUUUCAAUCGUAAUUUAACAAAUGUUUUUUUUCUUUUUUCAUACCUUUUCGUUUCGUUCAAAUGAAACAAUAACAUUUUAACAUUCUAAAUGUUGAUUAAAUUUUGUAUGAAAUGAAAAUUUCAACAUUAUCAACAAAUUUUAGACCAGUUAAAUUACUUUGAACAAAUUAGCGUGCUUAAAGCAGGCUCGAUUAUAUGCCUUGAAUAUGAAAAUCAUGGAAUAAUAGAAUAUGAUCUCGAUACUGUUUGGUGAAAACUGCUUGAAAAAAAAAUUGUAAAAAAUUUUUUUUUCAACACUAAAAGUUGGCUUAAAGAAUUGAUCAUUAUUUGAAUAUAUCAUUAUUCAAAGUGAAAUUUUUUAGUUAUAAACAAUUUUUGUCAUGUUGGUAGAAUUUUGUUUUACUUCAAUAUGAUUUUUUUCAUUUUUGAAAUAAAUAAAAUUCGAUUAAAUCAACGCUGACAUUUAAAAAAAAUUGUUUAAAGAAAUACUAAAUUAUUAAUUAAUUGAUCAAUUCGACAGUAUAU
rnacentral:rRNA from 1 species